UCUCCACUGGAAUAGCUCAGUCGGUAAAGAACAGGACUCUUACUCCCAGGGCUAUGGGUUCGAGCCCUACGUGGGGUGAA